rnacentral:rRNA from 1 species
UACGUAGGGGGCAAGCGUUGUCCGGAAUCAUUGGGCGUAAAGAGCGCGUAGGCGGCCCGGUAAGUCCGCUGUGAAAGUCAAAGGCUCAACCUUUGAAUGUCAGCGGAUACUGCCGGGCUAGAGUCCGGAAGAGGCGAGUGGAACUCCUGGUGUAGCGGUGGAAUGCGCAGAUACCAGGAAGAACACCAACGGCGAAGGCAGCUCGCUGGGACGGAACUGACGCUGAGGCGCGAAAGCGUGGGGAGCGAACAGG